rnacentral:tRNA from 1 species
GUCUUUAUAGUUUAUAAAAACCUUAGUCUUGUAAACUAAAAUAGGAACUCCUGAAGACUC